AUUGAACGCUGGCGGCAUGCUUUACACAUGCAAGUCGAACGGCAGCGCGGGCUUCGGCCUGGCGGCGAGUGGCGAACGGGUGAGUAAUACAUCGGAACGUGCCCAGUAGUGGGGGAUAGCUCGGCGAAAGCCGGAUUAAUACCGCAUACGACCUGAGGGUGAAAGCGGGGGAUCUUCGGACCUCGCGCUAUUGGAGCGGCCGAUGGCAGAUUAGCUAGUUGGUGGGGUAAAGGCCUACCAAGGCGACGAUCUGUAGCUGGUCUGAGAGGACGACCAGCCACACUGGAACUGAGACACGGCCCAGACUCCUACGGGAGGCAGCAGUGGGGAAUUUUGGACAAUGGGCGAAAGCCUGAUCCAGCAAUGCCGCGUGUGUGAUGAAGGCCUUCGGGUUGUAAAGCACUUUUGGCGGGAACGAAAAGGACUGUGCCAAUACCACGGUUCGAUGACGGUACCCGCAGAAUAAGCACCGGCUAACUACGUG
rnacentral:rRNA from 1 species